AUAUAUAGCCAAUUAAAAAUGUUGUUUUAUGCCACUGAUACAACUGCUUAUACUUUGUCAUAUACAUGAUUACCGUUGGGGAUGACUUCUAAAAUACAAGAAAAUGUUUAUGAAUAAGUUAUGGAGAUUGUUGGAGAAUAUAGAACAAUAGAUUGUAGUAAUCUAGUUAAUUUAAAAUACACUGAAAUGGUGAUAAAUGAAGCUUUAAGAUUAAUUCCUGUUAUUCCAUUAAUGGGGCGACGCACAACUGCCGAAAUAAAUUUAGGUGAAAUAGUCAUCCCAGAAAAUACAGGAAUAAUUAUUGACAUAUUGAGUUUGCACAGAAACCCGGAAAUUUAGUCCGGAUCCCCUG